GGAGGCUAUAUACAGGGGGUACUGGUACAGAGUCAAUGUGGAGGCUAUAUACAGGGGUACUGGUACAGAGUCAAUGUGGAGGCUAUAUACAGGGGGUACUGGUACAGAGUCAAUGUGGAGGCUAUAUACAGGGUAUUACGGUACAGAGUCAAUGUGGAGGCUAUAUACAGGGGGUACUGGUACAGAGUCAAUGUGGAGGCUAUAUACAGGGGGUACUGGUACAGAGUCAAUGUGGAGACUAUAUACAGGGGGUACUGGUACAGAGUCAAUGUGGAGACUAUAUACAGGGGUACUGGUACAGAGUCAAUGUGGAGACUAUAUACAGGGGGUACUGGUACAGAGUCAAUGUGGAGGCUAUAUACAGGGGUACCGGUACAGAGACAAUGUGGAGGCUAUAUACAGGGGGUACCGGUACAGAGUCAAUGUGGAGACUAUAUACAGGGGGUACUGGUACAGAGUCAAUGUGGAGGCUAUAUACAGGGGGUACCGGUACAGAGUCAAUGUGGAGACUAUAUACAGGGGGUACCGGUACAGAGUCAAUGUGGAGGCUAUAUACAGGGGGUACCGGUACAGAGUCAAUGUGGAGACUAUAUACAGGGG
ensembl:lncRNA